rnacentral:rRNA from 1 species
CCUACGGGAGGCUGCAGUGGGGAAUAUUGGACAAUGGGGGCAACCCUGAUCCAGCCAUGCCGCGUGUGUGAAGAAGGCCCUCGGGUUGUAAAGCACUUUCAGUGAGGAAGAACGCCUGGUGGUUAAUACCCAUCAGGAAAGACAUCACUCACAGAAGAAGCACCGGCUAACUCCGUGCCAGCAGCCGCGGUAAUACGGAGGGUGCGAGCGUUAAUCGGAAUUACUGGGCGUAAAGCGCGCGUAGGUGGCUUGAUAAGCCGGUUGUGAAAGCCCCGGGCUCAACCUGGGAACGGCAUCCGGAACUGUCAAGCUAGAGUGCAGGAGAGGAAGGUAGAAUUCCCGGUGUAGCGGUGAAAUGCGUAGAGAUCGGGAGGAAUACCAGUGGCGAAGGCGGCCUUCUGGACUGACACUGACACUGAGGUGCGAAAGCGCGGGUAGCAAACAGGAUUAGAUACCCCGGUAGUC